rnacentral:rRNA from 1 species
UGCCAGACUCCUACGGGAGGCAGCAGUAAGGGAUAUUGGUCAAUGGGGGAAACCCUGAACCAGCAACGCCGCGUGAGGGAAGACGGUUUUCGGAUUGUAAACCUCUGUCCUCUGUGAAGAUGAUGACGGUAGCAGAGGAGGAAGCUCCGGCUAACUACGUGCCAGCAGCCGCGGUAAUACGUAGGGAGCGAGCGUUGUCCGGAGUGGCUGGGUGUAAAGAGUUGCGUAGGUGGCAUAGUAAGUAGCUAGUGAAAUCUGGUGGCUCAACCAUUCAGACUAUUAGCUAAACUGCUAAGCUCGAGACCGUUAGGGGUAACUGGAAUUGCUAGUGUAGGAGUGAAAUCCGUAGAUAUUAGAAGGAACACCGAUAGCGUAGGCAGGUUACUGGGACGGUUCUGACACUAAGGCACGAAAGCGUGGGGAGCAAACAGGAUUAGAUACCCCGGUA